rnacentral:rRNA from 1 species
UACGAAGGGGGCUAGCGUUGCUCGGAAUCACUGGGCGUAAAGCGCACGUAGGCGGAUUUGUAAGUCAGGGGUGAAAUCCCGGGGCUCGAACCUCGAACUGCCUUUGAUACUGCGAAUCUUGAGUCCGAUAGAGGUGGGUGGAAUUCCUAGUGUAGAGGUGAAAUUCGUAGAUAUUAGGAAGAACACCAGUGGCGAAGGCGGCUCACUGGCCCGGUACUGACGCUGAGGUGCGAAAGCGUGGGGAGCAAACAGG